UUUGACCUCAAAUCAGGUAGGACUACCCGCUGAACUUAAGCAUAUCAAUAAGCGGAGGAAAAGAAACUAACAAGGAUUCCCCUAGUAACUGCGAGUGAAGCGGGAAAAGCUCAAAUUUAAAAUCUGGCGGUCCUUGUGGCCGUCCGAGUUGUAAUUUAGAGAA
rnacentral:rRNA from 1 species